ensembl:lncRNA
GGGACACGACCCCUCAGCAAGGCCUCUGGGAUUUGACGUGGUCAGGAUGAGGCUGGCCAGACUCUGGCUGCUGAGAAUCCGCCUCCACCUGGCACCCGGUCUGCUGGGUCCAUGAUAGGAGAACAAGGGGCCGCCUGGGCUCUGCAGGGGGCACUCAUCCCCACGGGGCCCCUCAGUAAACUUCAGGUCUGUCUUUCACCUGAGGAAUGAACGAGGGAAUCAGGAGUCCUGGGUCUGUGGGGCCAGGUCUGCGAGUGCAGGAACCUGUGACCUUGGACAAGUCACUGAAGCGCUGGGUCUCAUGGUUCUGCUCUCAAAGUGGGUCAAAAUCUCCUGCCUCACAGGGCUGCUGUGGGACCAAAUGUGGAAGUGGGCACGAGAUGAUGCGCCUUCUUGACUGCCUGAACAGGGCAGGGCUAGCGCCUGGGGACGGGCGUCUGUGCGGGGACACAGUUCCCUCGCUGGAGCAGGAAGAGGUUCCAAGAAGCUUCUGAACCAAGCCCAGGGGAUGAUGCUUAGAGCUCAUGGACCACCUGGGAAGCCAGGUGUGUUUCAUCCGGGCCAGACGAGAGACCCGGGCAAUCAGGGGAGCACACAGAGGAGGCGUCCAAGGAUGUCCUCCCAAAAGAGGGAGAAGGGCCUUGGGAGAUAUGGAGUACUUAGCACUUAGUACUAAUCUAAUAUACUCUGCUUAUCUAAGUACUACUGGGUGUACUGAGUACUUAGUGUGCUGAGUACUGAGUAGUACUGAGUACUACUAAGUGCUGAGUACUUAGCUCUUAGAUAGACAGGACAGGCUCUCCUGGGAGGGGACAGUGUCGUAAGCGACACCCUGGAGGGUGGGUUGCCCACAGCAUGUUUGGAAAAGGCCAGUUGGGUGAGUGUGCCGAGUGGAGGAAUUGUGCACAGCAGUUAGGGGGCUGCAGGUAAAAGGGGAAAGGAGAGCUGGCAAUGAGCCUGAAUGCGAGGCCCAGGGGCUGAGGUCUGUACUGAGCAGAAAGCUUUCUCAGGAGCAGAUGAUGGGAAACCAAGCCAGCUAGCUUGAGCACAGUAGAGACUGUUUCAGCUCAAACAACUCAAACCUUUGGGGGCUGGGAGACGGGCUUCAGGCAAAGCUUUAUCCAGGACCAUGCUGUCUCAGCACUGCUCCUGAGCGGUGGCUCCUCUUUCUAGGGGGAUCUGCCCUGGGCUUGAGGUAGCCCCCAGCACACUUAUCCAGGUUCACAUCCUGAGAGGAAGGAGGGCAUCUCCUCAGAACUCCAGGCCAGCAUCCAAGGACGUGUCACUUGCCUUUAACAUGUCCCUGUGGCCAGGCCAGCCUCCCACCUGGAACCGAGUUGCACGUGUGCUAAGUCACUUCAUUCACGUCUGACUCUCUGUGGCCCCAUGGACUGCAUUCUGCGAGGCUCCUCUGUCCGUGGGCUUCUCCAGGUGCGGCAUGCAGGUUCCAGUUCGCGGACCAGGGACUGAACCGGGCCCUCUGCACUGGGAGCCUGGAGCCUUCGCCUCCUGACCGCCUGGGGAGUCCCCACCCAACCCAUCCUGAGCAAGCGUUCACGGGCACCACCAUCCCCCCCGCCCCGCCCUGCGGCUAGAGUGGCAAGGCACCCCACCCGAGCUGGACUCUGCCGAGAAGAGACCACGCGUGGACCAGCCCUGGCCUCCAGGACGCUCUCAGCCAGAGGAAGGAGUCUGAAGUUUGGAAGCAGGAGAAUCAAGUUCCCAGCCCAGCUCGACCCAGGAGCCCAGGAGGGGAAAGUGGUUCAGAGCAGCGGCAACCCGCCUCGACCAGCAGACUAGAAGGAGGGGGCAGGAGGCAGACGCAAGCAGGCUGCUCGCACGAGGCCCAGAGACUCGCUCUCCACGUGAGUCUGGGAAGCAGCUGCAGCAGCUGCCCGCCUGCUGAGCCGCUCAGCCUGCCGAGGGGUCCUCGCAUCCACAGAGCCUCCUGACACCCCGGCACGGCCGGCUCCACUCGGCAGGGGAUCCCGGGAACCCAGGCAGCAGGGUCAGGACUCAGAGCUGGGUGUCCUGAGGCCAACAUCCGGGCUCUCAGCGCUGCCCCCAAAACAGCGGGCAGGGCACAGGGCCCCUGGGCACGUCUGUACAUCCUUCUCACUUGGGACGUCAGCAUCGCCCACUGGGGCCCUUUCCUUGAUCCAUGCGUCACUGGAGAUCAAGGGGGAGGCAAAAGAUGGGAACCACCCAGUUGCCCAUCAGCAGAUGAACGAACAGCAAACUGGGGCCUCUGCAAACAGUGGCAUAUUGCUCAGCCAUAAAAGGGAACAAGUUCCCCCACGACCUCUCUUAUUAGUGGCUUCUGUCUCCACUGAAGUCGAAAAAUGUGUGCAAAGAUUACAUGAGUGACUCUGUGUCAAGGGCUUAAACCAACACUUGGCACCGACUGAGUGCUAUUUCAGUGUUGCUUAAAAUAAUAUAGUUGAGAUUGCAUGAAGGGCAAGGAAGGGAUCACCAGCGCCUUCACAUCUCUAGUUCAGACGAUGACUGGACGUAAGUGCCCCUGAAGGGGAAGCUUCCACCCUCCACGGGCAGAGUUCCCGUCCUCCGAGCCCUCCUCUCACACCUGAGGCUUCUGUGGAAACUGCCCUGACUUUAGAGCAGCCCAGCUUCCUAGUGGUUGGGAACUGGUCCAGAGGGGAGAAGCUGAUCGAAGCCACGCCAACCACCGUCUAGGGCAGACAGGAUAGUGCCCCCCAACGAGGCCCACAUCCAGUUCCUGGAACUUGUGGAAAUGCUCCGCUACAUGGAAAGAGAGACUGCAGAUGUGGUGAAGCAUCUUGAGGUGGAGAGAACAUCCUGGAUUGUCCAGAUGGACCAAAACGAAUCACGAAGGUCUUAUAAGAGGAAGGUAGGAAAGUCACAGUCAGAGGAGAUGUGAUAACAAAAGCAGGGCCGUAGAGAGAGGUUUCCAGACGCUGCUCUUAAAGAGGAAGGGGCCGUGAGCCGAGGAAUGCAGGCGACCUCUAGAAGCUGGGAGAGGCAAGGAAGCGGAUUCCCUCCUGAGGCUUCCAGAAGAAACCAGUCCUGCGGACACCGUGAUUUUAGCCUCGUGCACGUAACUUCAAACCAGGACAUGGGAGCAACCUAAAGGCCCAUCGACAGCGGAGUGGAUAAAGCGGCUGUGGUGCAUACAUACAGUGGAGUGCUGCCCAGCCAUAAAAAGGAACAAAACUGGGCCAUUUGCAGAGCUGCGGAUGAACCUAGAGGGUGUCGUGCAAAGUGAAGUCAGUCAGAAAGAGAAAGACAAAUACCAUAGACUAAUGCAUACAUGUGAAAUCUGGAAAAUCAUAUAGAUGGUCUCAUCUGCACAGCAGAAAGGGAGACGCAGACAGAGAAUACAUGUAUGGAUGCUGAGAGGAGGGGUGGGAGGACUUGGGAGGCUUGGGCUGACAAAUAGGCACUAUUGGUGCUCUGCAUAAAAUAGACAGCUAAUGAGGAUGCUCUGAAUGGCGCAGGGACCUCUGCUUAAUGCUCUGCCGUGACCUAAACGGGGAGGAAAUUAAAAGAAAGAGGAGCUGUAUCUGCAUGUAGAAAUGAUUCAUUUUGCCAAAGAGUAAAAAAUAACACAAUAUUGUAAAGCAACUGUACUCC